rnacentral:rRNA from 2 species
GGUCGCGGCGUGAAUAUAAUGCAAGUCGAGCGAAUCUGAGGGAGCUUGCUCCCAAAGAUUAGCGGCGGACGGGUGAGUAACACGUGGGCAACCUGCCUGUAAGACUGGGAUAACUUCGGGAAACCGGAGCUAAUACCGGAUAAUCCCUUUCCUCACAUGAGGAAAGGCUGAAAGACGGUUUCGGCUGUCACUUACAGAUGGGCCCGCGGCGCAUUAGCUAGUUGGUGAGGUAACGGCUCACCAAGGCCACGAUGCGUAGCCGACCUGAGAGGGUGAUCGGCCACACUGGGACUGAGACACGGCCCAGACUCCUACGGGAGGCAGCAGUAGGGAAUCUUCCGCAAUGGACGAAAGUCUGACGGAGCAACGCCGCGUGAGUGAUGAAGGUUUUCGGAUCGUAAAACUCUGUUGUUAGGGAAGAACAAGUAUCGGAGUAACUGCCGGUACCUUGACGGUACCUAACCAGAAAGCCACGGCUAACUACGUGCCAGCAGCCGCGGUAAUACGUAGGUGGCAAGCGUUGUCCGGAAUUAUUGGGCGUAAAGCGCGCGCAGGUGGUUCCUUAAGUCUGAUGUGAAAGCCCACGGCUCAACCGUGGAGGGUCAUUGGAAACUGGGGAACUUGAGUGCAGAAGAGGAAAGUGGAAUUCCAAGUGUAGCGGUGAAAUGCGUAGAGAUUUGGAGGAACACCAGUGGCGAAGGCGACUUUCUGGUCUGUAACUGACACUGAGGCGCGAAAGCGUGGGGAGCGAACAGGAUUAGAUACCCUGGUAGUCCACGCCGUAAACGAUGAGUGCUAAGUGUUAGAGGGUUUCCGCCCUUUAGUGCUGCAGCAAACGCAUUAAGCACUCCGCCUGGGGAGUACGACCGCAAGGUUGAAACUCAAAGGAAUUGACGGGGGCCCGCACAAGCGGUGGAGCAUGUGGUUUAAUUCGAAGCAACGCGAAGAACCUUACCAGGUCUUGACAUCCUCUGACACUCCUAGAGAUAGGACGUUCCCCUUCGGGGGACAGAGUGACAGGUGGUGCAUGGUUGUCGUCAGCUCGUGUCGUGAGAUGUUGGGUUAAGUCCCGCAACGAGCGCAACCCUUGAUCUUAGUUGCCAGCAUUCAGUUGGGCACUCUAAGGUGACUGCCGGUGACAAACCGGAGGAAGGUGGGGAUGACGUCAAAUCAUCAUGCCCCUUAUGACCUGGGCUACACACGUGCUACAAUGGAUGGUACAAAGGGCUGCAAGACCGCGAGGUUUAGCCAAUCCCAUAAAACCAUUCUCAGUUCGGAUUGCAGGCUGCAACUCGCCUGCAUGAAGCCGGAAUCGCUAGUAAUCGCGGAUCAGCAUG